CCUACGGGAGGCAGCAGUGAGGAAUAUUGGUCAAUGGGCGGGAGCCUGAACCAGCCAAGUCGCGUGAGGGAAGACGGUCCUAUGGAUUGUAAACCUCUUUAGGCGGGGAGCAAUGCCGGGCACGCGUGCCCGGAGGGAGAGUACCCGCCGAAUAAGCAUCGGCUAACUCCGUCCCAGCAGCCGCGGUAAUACGGGGGAUGCGAGCGUUAGCCGGAUUUAUUGGGUUAAAAGGGUGCGUAGGCGGAUUUUUAAGUCAGCGGUAAAAUGUCCGGGCUCAACCCGGGCCGGCCGUUGAAACUGGGGAUCUUGAGUGGGGGAGAAGUAUGCGGAAUGUGUGGUGUAGCGGUGAAAUGCAUAGAUAUCACGCAGAACUCCGAUGGCGAAGGCAGCAUGCCGGCGCCCGACUGACGCUGAGGCACGAAAGCGUGGGGAUCGAACAGGAUUAGAUACCCUGGUAGUC
rnacentral:rRNA from 1 species